CCUACGGGAGGCAGCAGUGGGGAAUAUUGCUCAAUGGGCGAAAGCCUGAUGCAGCAACGCCGCGUGGACGAUGAAGGCCUUCGGGUCGUAAAGCUCUUUUGUCAGGGAAGAUAAUGACGGUACCUGAGGAAGAAGCACCGGCUAACUACGUGCCAGCAGCCGCGGUAAUACGGAGGGGGCUAGCGUUAUCCGGAAUCACUGGGCGUAAAGGGCGCGUAGGUGGGUUUGUAAGUCAGAUGUGAAAGGCUAAGGCUUAACCGUAGAAAGGCAUUUGAAACUGGUAUUCUUGAGUGCAGGAGGGGAGGGUGGAAUUCUUGGUGUAGCGGUGAAAUGCGUAGAGAUUAGGAGGAACACUCGUUGCGAAGGCGACUUUCUGGAGUGUAACUGACGCUGAGGCGCGAAAGCGUGGGGAGCAAACAGGAUUAGAUACCCGAGUAGUC
rnacentral:rRNA from 1 species